ACGGAUGUAGCUCAAUUGGCAGAGCAGCGGAUUCCAAAUCCGCAGGUUGGGGGUUCAAGUCCCUCCAUCCGUG
rnacentral:tRNA from 1 species